ACGAACGCUGGCGGCGUGCCUAAUACAUGCAAGUAGAACGCUGAAGGAGGAGCUUGCUUCUCCGGAUGAGUUGCGAACGGGUGAGUAACGCGUAGGUAACCUGCCUGGUAGCGGGGGAUAACUAUUGGAAACGAUAGCUAAUACCGCAUAACAGUAGAUAUUGCAUGAUAUCUGCUUGAAAGGUGCAAUUGCAUCACUACCAGAUGGACCUGCGUUGUAUUAGCUAGUUGGUGAGGUAACGGCUCACCAAGGCGACGAUACAUAGCCGACCUGAGAGGGUGAUCGGCCACACUGGGACUGAGACACGGCCCAGACUCCUACGGGAGGCAGCAGUAGGGAAUCUUCGGCAAUGGACGGAAGUCUGACCGAGCAACGCCGCGUGAGUGAAGAAGGUUUUCGGAUCGUAAAGCUCUGUUGUAAGAGAAGAACGAGUGUGAGAGUGGAAAGUUCACACUGUGACGGUAUCUUACCAGAAAGGGACGGCUAACUACGUG
rnacentral:rRNA from 1 species